GGAUAACAUACCGAAAGGUAUGCUAAUACGGGAUAAUAUAUUUGAGAGGCAUCUCUUAAAUAUAAAGGUGAGCCAGUACAGGAUGGACCCGCGUCUGAUUAGCUAGUUGGUAAGGUAACGGCUUACCAAGGCGACGAUCAGUAGCCGACCUGAGAGGGUGAUCGGCCACAUUGGAACUGAGACACGGUCCAAACUCCUACGGGAGGCAGCAGUGGGGAAUAUUGCACAAUGGGCGAAAGCCUGAUGCAGCAACGCCGCGUGAGUGAUGAAGGCCUUCGGGUCGUAAAACUCUGUCCUCAAGGAAGAUAAUGACGGUACUUGAGGAGGAAGCCCCGGCUAACUACGUGCCAGCAGCCGCGGUAAUACGUAGGGGGCUAGCGUUAUCCGGAUUUACUGGGCGUAAAGGGUGCGUAGGCGGUCUUUCAAGUCAGGAGUGAAAGGCUACGGCUCAACCGUAGUAAGCUCUUGAAACUGGGAGACUUGAGUGCAGGAGAGGAGAGUGGAAUUCCUAGUGUAGCGGUGAAAUGCGUAGAUAUUAGGAGGAACACCAGUUGCGAAGGUGGCUCUCUGGACUGUAACUGACGCUGAGGCACGAAAGCGUGGGGAGCAAACAGGAUUAGAUACCCUGGUAGUCCACGCUGUAAACGAUGAGUACUAGGUGUCGGGGGUUACCCCCUUCGGUGCCGCAG
rnacentral:rRNA from 1 species